UACGUAGGGUGCGAGCGUUAAUCGGAAUUACUGGGCGUAAAGCGUGCGCAGGCGGUUUUGCAAGCCGGAUGUGAAAUCCCCGGGCUUAACCUGGGAAUGGCAUUUGGGACUGCAAGGCUGGAGUGCGGCAGAGGAGACUGGAAUUCCUGGUGUAGCAGUGAAAUGCGUAGAUAUCAGGAGGAACACCGAUGGCGAAGGCAGGUCUCUGGGCUGACACUAACGCUCAUGCACGAAAGCGUGGGGAGCAAACAGG
rnacentral:rRNA from 1 species